rnacentral:rRNA from 1 species
CCGAUCCCAGUUCGGAUUGCAGGCUGCAACUCGCCUGCAUGAAGUUGGAGUUGCUAGUAAUCGCGGAUCAGAAUGCCGCGGUGAAUGCGUUCCCGGGUCUUGUACACACCGCCCGUCACACCACGGAAGUUGGGGGUGCCCAAAGUUGGCAGGAUAAUAUGUUACCUACGGCAAAACCGAUGACUGGGGUGAAGUCGUAACAAGGUAUC